CCCUUAGAUGUCCUGGGCCGCACGCGCGCUACACUGAACGGAUCAGCGCGUUUUCCCUUCCCGAGAGGGACGGGUAACCUGCUGAACCCCGUUCGUGGUAGGGAUCGGGGCUUGCAAUUAUUCCCCGUGAACCAGGAAUGCCCAGUAAGUGCAAGUCAUAAGCUUGCGUUGAUUACGUCCCUGCCCUUUGUACACACCGCCCGUCGCUACUACCGAUUGAACGUUUUAGUGAGGUACUCGGACUGAGCCUCGGAAGAUUCACGUCUUUUGUGCUGCUCGGGAAGAUUCCCAAACUUGAGCGUUUAGAGGAAGUAAAAGUCGUAACA
rnacentral:rRNA from 1 species